UACGAAGGGGGCUAGCGUUGUUCGGAAUUACUGGGCGUAAAGCGCGCGUAGGCGGAUCGCUAAGUCAGGGGUGAAAUCCCAGGGCUCAACCCUGGAACUGCCUUUGAUACUGACGAUCUGGAGAUCGGGAGAGGUUGGUGGAAUUCCGAGUGUAGAGGUGAAAUUCGUAGAUAUUCGGAGGAACACCAGAAGCGAAGGCGGCCAACUGGCCAGAUACUGACGCUGAGGCGCGAAAGCGUGGGGAGCAAACGGG
rnacentral:rRNA from 1 species